rnacentral:rRNA from 1 species
GGGGAAUAUUGCACAAUGGGCGAAAGCCUGAUGCAGCAACGCCGCGUGAGUGAUGAAGGUCUUCGGAUUGUAAAGCUCUGUCUUUUGGGACGAUAAUGACGGUACCAAAGGAGGAAGCCACGGCUAACUACGUGCCAGCAGCCGCGGUAAUACGUAGGUGGCGAGCGUUGUCCGGAUUUACUGGGCGUAAAGGGUGCGUAGGCGGAUGUUUAAGUGAGAUGUGAAAUACCCGGGCUUAACUUGGGUGCUGCAUUUCAAACUGGAUAUCUAGAGUGCAGGAGAGGAGAAUGGAAUUCCUAGUGUAGCGGUGAAAUGCGUAGAGAUUAGGAAGAACACCAGUGGCGAAGGCGAUUCUCUGGACUGUAACUGACGCUGAGGCACGAAAGCGUGGGUAGCAAACAGGAUUAGAUACCCUGGUAGUCCACGCCGUAAACGAUGAGUACUAGGUGUAGGAGGUAUCGACCCCUUCUGUGCCGCAGUAAACACAUUAAGUACUCCGCCUGGGAAGUACGAUCGCAAGAUUA